CCCUUAGAGUUUGAUCCUGGCUCAAGACGAACUCUGGCGGCACGCCUAACACAUGCAAGUCGAACGGACGAGGAGGAGCUUGCUUCUCCGAGUUAGUGGCGGACGGGUGGGUAACACGUGAGCAACCUACCCUUGAGAGGGGGAUAGCUUCUGGAAACGGAUGGUAAUACCCCAUAACAUAUAUUUUAGGCAUCUAAGAUAUAUCAAAGAAAUUCGCUCAAGGAUGGGCUCGCGUCUGAUUAGAUAGUUGGUGAGGUAACGGCCCACCAAGUCGACGAUCAGUAGCCGGACUGAGAGGUUGAACGGCCACAUUGGGACUGAGACACGGCCCAGACUCUUACGGGAGGCAGCAGUGGGGAAUAUUGCACAAUGGGGGGAACCCUGAUGCAGCGAUGCCGCGUGGAGGAAGAAGGUUUUCGGAUUGUAAACUCCUUUUAACAGGGACGAUAAUGACGGUACCUGAAGAAAAAGCUCCGGCUAACUACGUGCCAGCAGCCGCGGUAAUACGUAGGGAGCGAGCGUUGUCCGGAAUUACUGGGUGUAAAGGGAGCGUAGGCGGGACGGUAAGUCAGGUGUGAAAUAUACGUGCUCAACAUGUAGACUGCACUUGAAACUGCUGUUCUUGAGUGAAGUAGAGGUAAGCGGAAUUCCUAGUGUAGCGGUGAAAUGCGUAGAUAUUAGGAGGAACAUCGGUGGCGAAGGCGGCUUACUGGGCUUUUACUGACGCUGAGGCUCGAAAGCGUGGGGAGCAAACAGGAUUAGAUACCCUGGUAGUCCACGCUGUAAACG
rnacentral:rRNA from 1 species